UCAACAAAGUGAUAAGGAAGUCUUGAUUCAUGGAUUUCUGAGUUGUAAAUGCUCCUAUAGCAAACAGGACACUCAGCAAGAGACUACCCAGUCCCAGCACCAGCCUGCCUGCUCCCUGUGAAACCUCGGGCAGGCAACGAACCAUUCUGGGCCUCUACCCCCUUUCUCUGUAAAAGGAAGGAAUCAGCCCAAUGGAGUCUGAAGGCCCUUCUAGCCCUGAAUCUAGGCUUGGCUCCAGCACCACGUCCUCCCAGGGAGAGAAAGAGGAACAAGAAACAUGAUGUGGGACAGGAAAAGAACAGCAACCCCGCCCUUAACCUGGGCUGUACUGCUAAGGGACGGCGGGGCUCGCACUCGCACACUGUGCUUUGGAAUAAGGGCAAGGACAAAGUAAGACAAAUGAAGUGAGAAUAUGCAAACGCAGGACUUGCGGCAGAGCCUCGAUGGACAGGGAAGCAACAGAAGAGAGCGAUGUGACGUGCCAGCGUCCGGCGAGCCCCUUCACACUGUUUUCUUGGGGUCUCUUUGUUCUAAAAACAUAAAGAAGCGAUACCCUCUUUUUAUUCUGAAGGGGAAAAAAAUAACCAAAACCGGGAGGAGACUUAGGAUUCUCAGUCACACUGACCUGUGACCUCCACGUCUGCAUCACCCAAUCAAAGGGAAGCCCUAACGUUUUUAUGUGACUUUGAGAGUUAAGAUUAUCAUGAGCCUUUUACAGAGGUGGAAAGGCCUGCCGGGAUUUCUCUGGGCAGUAGAGAAAAAGGAUUUUCUAUCGCGUCUUAAGAGGUCGGCUUAUAAAAUGAUUUUGUCCUUGUU